CUGUGAGUGGCUGCUUGCCCUUGUGAUGACUGGCUGUGUGCUAGCAUAGAUAAAACAAGAGCGGGUUUAAAAAGCAGAAGCAUUUCUGAACUUUUGUCAGAAAGUAAAACUUCAUAUCUCCUCGUACUACAGCAGUUACGCUGACAAUAAAUAUCGUCUAUCUGAUUGAACAGUACAAAUAAAAUGUGCAUAAACAUUUUCGCUGCCAUCAUCUUCACUGCAUCCUUUUUCCCCUGGGCCAUCAACAUGACUGAAUACCCAAGAUUCCCCUGUUACAACAAAAGCUCAGAAUACAAAUACAACAAAUUUGUCAAAAAUCACAUCCUCCAUGACAGCUUUGACAGAAAUUCUCUAGAUGCUUGGAAAAGGUAUUUGAAAAAGGAAGGCCUCUGGUGCCGAACUCCAGUGCAGUCCUUCAUCAGUGACAGUGAGUGGAAUGUCGACAGGAUCUGCAGCAGUGAUGGUCAUCGCUUGGCUGAUUCUGUUACCUACGCAGGCAACUUGUGUAUCAGCAACUCAGAAAUGCUGAUUUAUGAUGUCACAAUUAGGAAAACCAACAAGGGCCGUAAAAUUAAUGUUACUCGAGCCCAGAGGCCUGUUAUUGUUGCAUGCGAUAACGUUGGAAACAAGUGCCUCCCAGUUCAUUUUCAGAAAUAUGAACACCAAACCCCAAGCAACAUACCCUGCAAUCCUGCAAGAAUUUUCAGUAUUGUGGUAGAAUAGGUUUUCAUUAUCAAGCAAAUUAAUCUGUUACAAAAGUUUCAACUCAUCAUCUUUGGAGGGUGUUAUGCUAUAAUCGCUAUAGAGUGUUCCCUUGUUUGUUAUGUUCUAAAAAAUAACCCACGAUAGGUGAAAUUCGCGAAGUAGUCACCUUUAUUUUUAUUACAAUUAUUAUAGAUGUUUUAAGGCCGUAAAACCCCGCACUACACACUUUAUACACUUUUCUCAGACAGGCAUGAACAUUUCUCUCCUGUUUAAACCUACAUAUAUAGUGAGUUCAUUAGAACAAAUUGAAGACUCUGUAGCACACUUCAUAAUUUAUUCACUGCUGAAAUAAAGAUUAACACAUCUUCCACAUUACCUUCAGAGUAAGAAAUGCAUUGCUUAAAUAUCUUAUGUCUUGCCUUCUAUCAGUGUCUGUAAAAUAAAUAUUUUAUUAUUUAUUAAGAGUGAUUAUUCAUUAAUAGCUCUCGACAUUGUAUUACAUUGUGUUACCUUGCAAGAACUUGAGAGCAGUAAAACAACAAGAACGUCAUUAGUCUGCAGUACAUUUUUCCUGUUGUCUUUAUGGCUCAAUGAAACUUGGACUUUCCUGUCUGACCAUCUACCUUAUCUGUGGUUUGAGCAAGCUGUUACAGCUGAUGCUUGUUUUGGUUAUUUCUUAAUAAUCAGUGUGCUGGCACUGCAAUGAUGGUUACUGGAUCUUCCAAAGAUGACAGACUUCCUUCAAAAAGUGUUAAGAAUGAACUAUGAAAAUGUUUCUGUGCUCAGCAAGCAGCUUCACACUGUAUUUAUUAUGUUAAACAGAUUUAUCAUUUCAGUAGUACUAUAUAUUAUAGCUCGGUGAUAAAGUGUUAACCAAAGAGUAACAAGGAAGAAGCAAGAAUGUUUUGUAUUGUAUUGUAGUUUUGUAAUGUAUUACAACUCAAUUACCAAAGUAAUCGCCAGGGGGCGUUAUACUGCAGUUUUUUCUUUGCUCUCAAUUUUGACACGCCCUAUUAAAGAUUAAUAUCAGUUUGUA